rnacentral:lncRNA from 1 species
AGCGGUUAAUUACAGAAUUACGGUUAGAAUCUAGAGAAUCAGAGGAAAGUAUGUAGGAGUUGUAGAAAUUAAUUAAGGUGCCAGACUGUGAUAGUCAUGAGCCGAGGGCCAUCGUUGUGAUAGUUGUGAGCCGGGAUAAGCUUGGUGCUACUUCUUUUCUUUUGUUUGUUAUUUUUUUUGAAUAAGAGGAUUGAGAGUUUCUGAAUAUUGUGAAGUGAAUUAUAGAAUGGAAAUGUGAUUGGUAUUAUUUGAGAAGAAGAAAGAUUGAAUGCUGAAAUCUGAUUGUAGUUCAGCAGAGAGAAUGAGUCUGUAUUUGUGUAAAACAUCAUAAUGUGAAUGGCAGUUUUGUGUGAAGAAUUCCAGUGAUUGGAAUGAGGAUAAUUGUGUGCUGAAAGCUUUGAGGGCACAGUAUUACAAUUAGAGAUUAUAAGAGUG